CAUUUUUUUUUCAACCAAAACUAUUCACCGAAUUCAACCUGAAUUCACAAAUAGUUUCAGUUCCUUGAAAAAAUGCAUUUUUUGGCAAAUUUACUAUUAGCCAAACUAAAUUUGCCCAGCUAUGCAUGGCACUAACAUGCACUGUACUUGUGUCUAGUCAGUAACAUCACUUCCUUGCCUUAAUAUGCUCUAAAAAUAACAUUCUUCCAGAAAAUAGUGUUUUUGAAAGAUAGAAGAAUGUUUUGUCAUGUGACUGAAGGUCUAGGGCUAUGUCCUGUCCAGGUCAGCUCUGAGAGGAGAAAUGAAUCAAAACAAAUCCUGUGGUCUAGAGUAGAAUUGAAUAGGCAUGCUAGGGAGAAGAUUUGCCUCCAUCCUUAAAUAUAUACAAAUGGGCAUAUGUCUGGAUCUGGAUUUGCCUUGACUCUUAGAUAUAUACAAAUAGGUAUAUGUGUCCAUGUGAAGUUUAAAGGCUACAGAAUUUAUACAAAAUAAGCAGUUUUUAAUGCUUUUAUACAUUCACCAUCCUCCUUUGUACAUGUCUACCUUGCAUAUCACAUACCUAGCAAAUAUAAUCAAAUGAGUAGGGGAAAUUCCUACACAAGCAUACUUACUUUUUAAAAGUGAAAAACUGGUUUUAUUUAAUUGAUGUGAAUAUCAAAUUUACAUAUGGUUUAAGUCGUAGCAAAUUAAAAGCUCUUAUAUUUACAGGUUAUUUUUCUGAACAUAUGAUGAACAUAAGAAUUUGUCCUUUGUACUAUACAAUUGUGGUGACCAACGCCUGGAUAUAAAAAAUUACAGGGCUUCCUUAAAGUGUACGUCAAACAUCACAACCUCAUAUGAAUUUUUAGCAGCAUAUUUAAUGUAUUGCAAUUGAUAAAUACUCAAAAUGUUGUGUCUGAAUUUCAGGGGAAAACAAAUAUAGAUACGUUAUGUAGACCAAUAUGAUGCCACAUACUAAAAAAAUUUCUCAAAACCUUACAUUGUUUUAUAACAUGCUGUCUUGGUGGCUAUUAAGUAAAUAGUUGUGAUAUUCUAGAAAAUCUUAGUUUGCAUUUUUGCUAUUUGUUUCAAUUUGAUACCAUUUCAUUUUAAUCCUGUGCCAUACAAAUGUUCCUCUAGAUGGUGCUCCAUAAUCAAGAAUUGCAUUUUAAUACUAUCCCAUUCUAAAGACUCCCGAGAAAUAGUCUUAGUCAAGAAGACAGUCUCCUUUGUCUCUAAAUUCUGUAUUAUAAUAAUUCCAUCUGUACUGCAAUUUACUGACUUCUGAUUCAGUAAAAUAGAAAUACAUUAUUUAUUGCUCUUGCAAAUCUUAAAACCUAUGCACUAUAACACAAAAUGCCAUCUGUGUGGAAUAAUAUCAUCUGAGCCGCUGUGGACUGAUCCAUAUCUCAUAUCUGUUAUGGCAGCCAUUAAGUGGUGUGAGCUGUUCAGUGUCCUGUUGAGCUGCUAGAUGAACUGCUUAGGGGCCCCAGCCAUACACCAGGACUCCACUGUGCUAGAUGCUGUACAAACACAGAACAAAAAGAUGGUUCCUGCCCUGAUAAGGUUGCAAUCCAAGUAUAAGAACAGAUACAAAAGGUAGAUGCAACAAGCAGAUGGGAAGCAUAAGAACAUCAUGUGUCAGUACUGGUCAACAAGAGUCAACCCUUCCCCAGAUACAGUCCCCCAUACGUUUCCUAGGUUUUUAAAAAAGCAAAUUGAAAAAAACCAAGUGCAGCGUGAGGCACCACAGUGAUUUCUGCACGAGUCAGCAGCGGAGUCUGAACCCAGGACCUUUUGACCCACAAAACAGCUAAAAGGGAAACUCAUGGUAGCAGUAGGUUCUCGUCUUCUAUGUAGAUUAGCCACUAUAGCCAAUCACACUUUGCUAGUGACUUGCGCAUGUCUAUUUGCAAGACAGGAGAGGAAUGCUCAGUCUCAAGCUUCCUAAGUUCUGUUCCUGGCUCUGGAUUGCGGUCUACUGGCUCAACUGUAGAACUAAGUAUGAAGAUUUGUAACCUUUGUUCUGAAAGGCCCGGUGCCUAAGUGGAUGAGACUUGGGUCUGCCAUAUUAGAGACCUAUGUUCUAUUCCCAGCUGUCCCUGAAGUGACUUUGUGCAACCUUUCAGUUACUUCAAAUGUAAAAUGGGGAGGGAGAAUGAUAGUUGCCGUCCUUUAAGGUGUAUGAGCCCUGGUUUAAUAAUAAAGGCUGUUAAGAGUGCAUUAUAAACAUCAGAAAGUGGAAGCAGAACUCAUGAUCUCCUGGCUUUCAUCCUAGCACUCCUUCCCAUAGGGUAAAGGAUAUUUUGCAGCUGCUGCUUUGCUUGGGUAUCCAUUCAGAGCCACAAAGGGAGUUGUGAGUCGCAGAGCGUGUUCAGACAGUUGGAUUUUUCAGAUAUUUUAGCAGGAAGCCUCUAACAUUGCUCUGCUGAGAAUGUGCAAAUGGUAAUGCUCAGAGGCCUAUAAUUUGGCCACAUCUGGGUGAAUUUUCAACAGGUCAACAAAAGACACUUCUUUGAUCCCACAACUAUCCCCUGCCAAAUUUUGAGUUCCUGCUCUAAAGCAUCAAGGAGCUUUAAAUAAAUUGUUGGAAACUUAAUAUAUUAAAAAAAUCAGUAAAAAAAUAGGUAGUUUUGCUAACUUCAUUCUCAGAAAAGGUAUUUUUGCUGAACAUUUAAAAAAAAAUCUAGCCUGAGAAGGAGAUAAAGAAUGGAAAAUUUUAAUCCUAAUGGUUAAAGUCUGACAAAUUAAUAAGCAACUGAAAACAGGGCCUUAUUAUGUAAAAUGUAAAACACACUUACUUAUAGGCAUAGCUACCAGCACUGCCUACAAUUAUGGCUCUGUGGUCUCUAUUCCACACACAUUGUUAGGAGAAUGAUGCUUUGAAUAGUCUCCCAUGGCAAGCAGUGAAAGAAUCAUCACACUUUGUUUAAAAUUUCAUCAGACAAAUCACUCAAGAAUUUACCACAGGGAAUGUUCCUGCACUGGCAGUAGGACAAAAAAGAACACUCAAUAGCUCUUUGCCAUCUGUAAUUUCUAAGAUAUUGAUGGAGAUUCCUCUAACUGGGCAAAAUACAUAAUCUCAUUAAAAAUAUUAAAAAGCUAGUUGACUAGCUAUGCACUUUAUUCCUAUAAAUACAUUUUGAAAAAGAAAACCGCUGUAUUAAAGAGGUCUUAAAU